rnacentral:rRNA from 1 species
AUUGAACGCUGGCGGCAGGCCUAACACAUGCAAGUCGAGCGAGCGGCGGACGGGUGAGUAAUGUAUGGGGACUGCCCGAUAGCGGGGGAUAACUACUGGAAACGGUAGCUAAUACCGCAUACUAUCGGCUAACCCAUAUGGGAUUAGGUAGUAGGUGAGGUAAUGGCUCACCUAGGCGACGAUCCCUAGCUGGUCUGAGAGGAUGAUCAGCCACACUGGGAAUGCGAGACGGCCCAGACUCCGACGGAGGCAGCAGUUGGGGAUAGUGCACAAGGGGGGAAGGCCUGAUGCAGCGAAGCCGCGUGGGGGAUGAAGGCUUUCGGGUUGUAAACCUGUUUCGCUAUCGAACGGGUAGGUGGAGAAGAAGCGCCGGCUAACUACGUGCCAGCCGCCGCGGUAAUAC